rnacentral:rRNA from 1 species
GACAGAGGGUGCAAACGUUGUUCGGAAUUACUGGGCGUAAAGCGAGUGUAGGCGGUUUGGAUAGUCGGAUGUGAAAGCCCCGGGCUCAACCCGGGAAGUGCAUUCGAUACUCCCAAGCUAGAGUAUCGGAGAGGUUGGUGGAAUUCUCGGUGUAGAGGUGAAAUUCGUAGAUAUCGAGAGGAACACCGGUGGCGAAGGCGGCCAACUGGACGAAUACUGACGCUGAGACUCGAAAGCGUGGGGAGCGAACAGG